rnacentral:tRNA from 1 species
GCUGGCGUAGCUCAAUUGGUAGAGCAGCUGAUUUGUAAUCAGCAGGUUAGGGGUUCGAGUCCUCCCGCCAGCUCGA